UACGAAGGGGGCUAGCGUUGCUCGGAUUCAUUGGGCGUAAAGGGUGCGUAGGUGGCGCUGUAAGUGGGGUGUGAAAUCCCGGGGCUUAACUCCGGAACUGCAUUCCAUACUGCGGUGCUUGAGGACUGGAGAGGAGACUGGAAUUUACGGUGUAGCAGUGAAAUGCGUAGAUAUCUGGAGGAACACCGGUGGCAAAGGCGGCAUCCUGGACCGGCAUUGGACGCUGAGGAGCGAAAGCCAGGGGA
rnacentral:rRNA from 1 species